rnacentral:rRNA from 1 species
GACGGAAGGUGCAAGCGUUGUUCGGAAUUACUGGGCGUAAAGGGCUCGUAGGCGGCCAACUAAGUCAGACGUGAAAUCCCUCGGCUUAACCGGGGAACUGCGUCUGAUACUGGAUGGCUUGAAUCCGGGAGAGGGAUGCGGAAUUCCAGGUGUAGCGGUGAAAUGCGUAGAUAUCUGGAGGAACACCGGUGGCGAAGGCGGCAUCCUGGACCGGCAUUGACGCUGAGGAGCGAAAGCCAGGGGAGCAAACGGG